UACGUAGGGGGCUAGCGUUGUCCGGAAUCAUUGGGCGUAAAGAGCGUGUAGGCGGCUUGGUAAGUCCGCUGUGAAAGUCCAGGGCUCAACCCUGGAAUGCCAGUGGAUACUGUCGAGCUAGAGUCCGGAAGAGGCGAGUGGAAUUCCUGGUGUAGCGGUGAAAUGCGCAGAUAUCAGGAGGAACACCAAUGGCGAAGGCAGCUCGCUGGGACGGUACUGACGCUGAGACGCGAAAGCGUGGGGAGCAAACAGG
rnacentral:rRNA from 1 species